rnacentral:rRNA from 1 species
GUCUACGGCCACCCCCACCUCUGGACAUGACCAAUCCUGUCUGAUCCCGGAAGCUAAGCAGGGUCGGGCCUGGUUAGUACUUGGAUGGGAGACCUCCUAGGAAGAGCAGGUGUUGUAGGCG